CGCACCUUGCGCUCCUUGGUAUUCCGAGGAGCAUGCCUGUUUGAGUGUCUUGAAGUCAUCACCCCGCAACGUUUGUCACCGAACGAGGCGGCUGGUGGAUCUGGGGCGUGCGGCCGCGAGGCCGCUCCCCUCAAAUGCGUCGGUUGGGCCUUGUGGUUCUCAACUCGAGAGGGCGUUGUAACAUCCUCGCUCCAUCGAGGGACCCGUCUGAAACCCGACCACCGACCCUCUCCCGUUUGUGGGAGGGCCAACUCUUCUGAAAUCUGACCUCAAAUCAGGUAGGACUACCCGCUGAACUUAA
rnacentral:misc_RNA from 1 species